rnacentral:rRNA from 1 species
GAUGAACGCUAGCGGCAGGCUUAAUACAUGCAAGUCGAGGGGCAGCAUGAUUGUAGCAAUACAAUUGAUGGCGACCGGCAAACGGGUGCGGAACACGUACACAACCUUCCAAUAAGUGGGGAAUAGCCCAGAGAAAUUUGGAUUAAUACCCCGUAACAUAACGCUGUGGCAUCACAUUGUUAUUAUAGAUUUUUCGCUUAUCGAUGGGUGUUCGGCUGAUUAGAUUGUUGGCGGGGUAACGGCCCACCAAGUCUACGAUCAGUAGCUGAUGUGAGAGCAUGAUCAGCCACACGGGCACUGAGACACGGGCCCGACUCCUACGGGAGGCAGCAGUAAGGAAUAUUGGACAAUGGACGCAAGUCUGAUCCAGCCAUGCCGCGUGAAGGAUUAAGGUCCUCUGGAUUGUAAACUUCUUUUAUAAGGGACGAAAAAAGGCUUUUCUAAGUCGUCUGACGGUACCUUAUGAAUAAGCACCGGCUAACUCCGUGCCAGCCGCCGCCGUAAUAC